ensembl:lncRNA
GGGCAUGGUAGUUAAAUCCUAGUGCUUCUGCUUCCUGUGCAUUCCUGUGCUGUGUCCAUUGGCAUUCCUGCCUGGAGCCUCAAACAGAGUGUCUAAGGACUGUGGUAGUCCAAGCAGCAGUGGUUCCCAAGACAGACUCCUAGGUAAUAGCCUGAUGGACUUCAGCCUGCUUGCUGCUGCUCCUACACAGCUGUACCUACCUGGUAUUCUGUGAUUGUUGCUCCUUUCCUCUGCCUCUUUCUGGCCUCUCCAAGAUAUGUCUACUCCCACCAGGUCAGGCCCAGACCCGGCCCCAUUUAUCCCUAAAGCCAGUUCCAACCAGAACAGAAAUCCUACUAGAGCUCCCAGUGUACAAGCUCAUGAAGUCUGGCAUGAGAUCUGUCAUGCGGGGGUGAGCUCUGGGUAUGCUUGAAGCCACUAUGAUGCAUCAAUCACCCUUUUCUCCUUGCCCUAUACCAUUCUAGUUCUCACGACUGGGCUUAUGCCUCAGUUUCCCUAACAAGCCCUCUUGAUCUCUACUUAGACUAGAGCUCUGUUCUGUACCUUGGAAGUAUGCAAGGUCACCAUGUUGCUGCCUAGCUCUCAAUAACCACUUUCUCUCCUUGAUGACUAGAUGCUGUAGCCUAUCAUCUGUUUCACAAACCCUUGUCUUGUAAACAGAAGAAAUACUACCUGGAACCACGAUCUGGCCAUCUGCCUGAACUCUUUCUAUGCCAUAUACCACCCACUGGACAGAAUUCUCCUCAGGAACAAGAAUUGCCUGGGUCGCAUUUGAGCUUAUCAAAAUUUUUAGACACUGGACAAGAUCAUCCCCACCCUCCCAGGUUUCCUUGCUGGUCCCAAAUACACAUUCUUCCUUUUGCUACGUAUUUCUCAAACAAGCCUCCCCAAUGCCCUGCACUGGCACUUCAUGAGCGACAGCAUCUUGACUUCUUCAGUUCCUUUGGGAAAGAAGAGAAUUGGAUGAAGGUUUCAUUCUCCCUCUCUUACCUUACUAUGUAAGGAGGGGUUUGUUAUCAAGACCUGUCUUGGGGAAGACGAAGCAAGAGUAGAGGUAAGAAACUGCAGAGACCCUCUGAACCCUGGUGAGGGGCUGUGGAACCAGGCUUGUUAGCGGCAUAUGCCCUUGCUGUCUGUCCUGGGACGAGGAUGGUUCCAGAGCUCUAGAGAAUUCUAGUUCUGUGGUGGGCCAAGCCAUGGCGAGGGAGUAAGGCAGAUUUUACUUCCCCCACAAUCUCCAAUUGCACUUCUUUGCAAGCCACUCAAAACAAACAUAACAACUCCAUGAAAGUAGUAUUAUGGAAACAUGACUUCAAGACAAGUUCCCUGGCCUUUGAAAGGUCAGUUUGUGGUUCUCCAACCAAGAACCCCAAGCAUCUCUUGGCGAACCCACUACUCCAAUCCUUCUUUCCUCCUUCAAGAAAAUGAGUACUCCAGUUUCACUCUGCCUGGAAUCCAUGACUUUACCUGAGGAAUUCUUCGUUUGCCAAGAUCCGCCUCAAAAGUCAUCUCCUUUAUAAAACCGUCACCAAUCUGCGUCUUGGCCUCUUCCUUGAGGCUUCCACAGACCGUCUUUCAUAUCUCUAUGGUGGUGCUUUUUACAUUUGAUUUUAAUUAUUUUUCCUACAGAAUUAUAUUUAUAAGCUCGUUAAUUCAUGGAGGGUGGGCUUCACGCCUUAUUCAAUUUUGUAACUGCCGCAGUUUGCAAGUGCCUCAGUACACGCUUAGCAUUGGCUAAGAAGCAUGGUUACUCUCUUUUGGACUCAUUUGAAGGGAAUUCCAUUUGACGUUGAAAUGUAUGACUAUACUUCUUCUUGGAAGUUCAUGAAAAAGUGUGCUUUUC